rnacentral:rRNA from 1 species
UACAGAGGUCCCAAGCGUUGUUCGGAUUCAUUGGGCGUAAAGGGUGUGUAGGUGGCGCCGUAAGUCGGGUGUGAAAUCUCGGGGCUUAACUCCGAAACUGCAUUCGAUACUGCGGUGCUUGAGGACUGGAGAGGAGACUGGAAUUCAUGGUGUAGCAGUGAAGUGCGUAGAGAUCAUGAGGAAGACCAGUGGCGAAGGCGGGUCUCUGGACAGUUCCUGACACUGAGACACGAAGGCCAGGGGAGCAAACGGG